rnacentral:rRNA from 1 species
UGCAGUCGAGCGAAUGGAUUAAGAGCUUGCUCUUAUGAAGUUAGCGGCGGACGGGUGAGUAACACGUGGGUAACCUGCCCAUAAGACUGGGAUAACUCCGGGAAACCGGGGCUAAUACCGGAUAACAUUUUGAACCGCAUGGUUCGAAAUUGAAAGGCGGCUUCGGCUGUCACUUAUGGAUGGACCCGCGUCGCAUUAGCUAGUUGGUGAGGUAACGGCUCACCAAGGCAACGAUGCGUAGCCGACCUGAGAGGGUGAUCGGCCACACUGGGACU